GGGUGAUUAGCUCAACUGGGAGAGCACCUCCCUUACAAGGAGGGGGUCGGCGGUUCGAUCCCGUCAUCACCCACC
rnacentral:tRNA from 1 species